GACAGAGGCCUCGAGCGUUAGGCGGAAUCACUGGGCUUAAAGCGUGUGUAGGCGGGCCCGUAAGUGUCUUGUGAAAUCCCACGGCUCACCCGUGGAACGGCUGGGCAUACUGGCGAUCUUGGGCCAACUAGGGGCAGUCGGAACAAGCGGUGGAGCGGUGAAAUGCGUAGAUAUCAUUUGGAACGCCAAUGGUGAAAACAGGUAGCUGGGGCUGUGCUGACGCUGAGACACGAAAGCCAGGGGAGCAAACGGG
rnacentral:rRNA from 1 species